CGGACGGGUGAGUAAUGUCUGGGAAACUGCCUGAUGGAGGGGGAUAACUACUGGAAACGGUAGCUAAUACCGCAUAACGUCGCAAGACCAAAGAGGGGGACCUUCGGGCCUCUUGCCAUCGGAUGUGCCCAGAUGGGAUUAGCUAGUAGGUGGGGUAACGGCUCACCUAGGCGACGAUCCCUAGCUGGUCUGAGAGGAUGGCCAGCCACACUGGAACUGAGACACGGUCCAG
rnacentral:rRNA from 1 species